ACUUGCUUGGACCAAGAACAAGUGAGCCCAGUGUGGGAAGAUGAGCCUUUUCCCAUGAUGGAUUGAGCCAUGGAGUGUGCUGCAACCUGGCAUCCUGGCUGGAACGUCCGCUUAACCCUGGGGGUUGCUGCUCAUUUCUGUGUUCAGGCCUUCCUUCCCUCUUGCUUGUUUAAACAUGGAUAAUCUCCUUGGUACAAUGGGUAUUUGUUGUUGGACUUAGCAGUAAAGCUCCUGCAAAGCUCGGGGUGAAGGCAGGGAGCAGCUGGCAACGUGUUCCUCUGAGGGCUUCUGCUCUUGUCCCCGCUCACCUCUUCAUCUCAUCCCUUUCUUUGCACUGCUGUCUCUUGGUUCUCCUCAUUGCUCUCCCUUGUCACGUCUGUGUUCCAGGUACCUGCUGUCCAAACUGCAUGGUUCCUUGCUGUGACACCAGACCCUCACGGGGCAUCCCUGCCCAAAGCAGGCACUCAUCUGAGCACUGCAUCCAGGAGCACAGGUUGCACCUCGCCCUGCUUUUGAAGGCUUUGACUGGUGUGAGACCUGCUCAGGAAUGGCUGGAAGGAAUUCAGGGACAGAGGCGAUAAGGUGUUGGUCUCCAGAAUGCUCCUGGCUCUGCUCUUCUUGGAAGCAAUGGUGAGACAUCUGUCAAUGUGAGCCCACAGAGGGAAGCUGAGGUCUGCUCCUGGCACUAGGAUCCCGUAAACCUUCCUGUAAGAGUGUGUUGCUUGGAUGUGAAGAGAUGCUAUCGAUCCGACAAUGGAGGUUGCAGAUGAAGGAGAAAAGGUUGGAAUUGAGCUGACAGCACUUAGCUGCAGUAAGGUGAGUCCAGCAAUCUGCAAUUCCACUGCCUGCUCAAGAGAACUCCGGGCACCUCUCCCGUUAGCAGUUGGAAACCCCAGCAGAUAUCAUGGACCUGCCAGGUUUCCUUUCGUAAACUGAAAAUAGGCAAUCUGAGUGGGUUGUCUUUCAAUGAGGGGGUGCAGCUGUGGGCUCCCUCCCAAAAUCUAGCAACCCUGAAACCUUCAGAAAUUCUUUUAGGCUUUGCCCGUUUCAGAGGAAGGAAUGGAAGGAGAUUUAUAAUCCGGCAGCCUUCCAGUUCAUGUUAUCAUGAAAAUGGAGAACUUCAGCUUUCAAGUCUACCAGCAAGAUUUACAGGUGACCGAAUGAAGCAUUUUGAUUUGGAGUAAUAUGUUUCACACAGAGUCAGGUGAUUGUUUCUUCUCAUUUUGGUAAAAAGGGGGGGAAAAACAUCUUACAAUACUUCAGGGGAACCAGAGCUGUUGCUUAUCUAUCUCACCAUGAGACUCUAGUGGAGAGAUCUGAUUUGCUUAGAGCGUAAAGACAAUAUGCACAAACGCAGAGAAGAAAAUAGCAAGAAAGGCUGGUUUGCUUGUUUUCCACCACGUGCUCAUCUUUGGGGCCACUGUGUGAGAACUGUGAUAUUCUUCCAUGGUUCAUCCUCAUGAGGCUUGGUUCCUCACUGCCAGCUUAACGGCGGAAUCACACUGGUUGUCCUUAUAUAGCUUAUAUAUAGCUUAUAUAGCUUAUAUAGCAAGCAAGGGAAAAGUAUGGGCAUUUUCCCCUCCUUUCUAAAUACAAACUAUUAAUUUAAAGAGAUUUUCCUGAUAUUAGGUAUUUUGAGGUGUGCUCUCACAUAAAUGUAGGCCUUUUUCAGUUGCACUUCUGAAAGAAAACCAAUUUUCAAUGGAAUUGUAUUUGUUGGAUGCUGAUUGAACUAAAUAGUAGAGUUUAUGUGGAAAAUAAGGUAGAAAAUCACAUGUGUGACUUACUGAUUUAAACUUCUGCGUAUCUUAGAAAAAUAUCACCGGAUUAAAUCGUGGCUAUGAUUAAAUAUAAUUCAUAACACAGAUAAGUGGAUGAUGUUGCUUGUAAUGAAAGAAGAGCUUUUCAUGUUCUACCAAAUUUGGGUUACAGGAGGGCAAAUAACAUACAAGUACAAUGAAAGGCCCAAAUCUGUGACAGAGCAAGUUGUAUGUCUGUAUGUUCAAUUACCCCAACAUGUUACAUGUAAAAGAUAGUAAGAUCUUCAAGCCCUAUGUAAAGUCAAAAGAAAACGUGAAAUCUGCUUUUGCCCCUGAGUCAAAAUUAGGGCAACUUGGGUGAUCGGGUAGCUCAGAAAGGUGCCUGAUUCUUGGCCCAAAUCAUAGAGCUUUUCUUCUUUGGGACAUCUAUGGAAGACAAUCAGAUUCCUCAGUAAUUAUGGUUCCCAUCAAGAAAACCUGUUCUACUCCAUUCCUCCUCUCAGCCUUGCAGUGUGUGUUACCAAGCCUGGUAGUAUGGUUUCAUCAGCUGAUAUGACCCUGACCUCACAGAUACUGUGACCUUGUGCCUAGACAUCAGGUGUCUUGGUGGCUGAAACUCAGAUUGAGAUGGUGACAAUGCUGGGAGCUGGGGAAACUGCUUUACAUUUGCAGCUAUGAAUGAGGACAAACUGGAAUGGUAAUGGGGUAAUAAUGGCAUUGGAGAGAGGAUUGGUUGGAAUGAUGGCAGCAAACUGGAGGUUUGCUGCUUUUAACCUUUCCAGUUCUGUGCAUUUACUUUGCAUUUCUGUGGUCUCCCAUCAUAGUGGGAGUGAGUCUGGGUGCUGGUGGAGGGCAGGCAUGGAGCUGUGCUGAACAUUUACUAUGGAAUAAUAAGGGAGGGCUAGUGGCCUUUCUUUCAUCUUAAUAUGGUCAGCCAUUACAGAGGGACAUGGGCAGAGCUUCAGUGUUCUCCAUUGGAAUUGCUUGGCUAUUGUAAAAGAGGGCAACAAAAGCUGGAGCUUCGGUAGGCUUGGAACAUCUGCAGAUUGAGCUGCAGUGCUUUAGUGAUUCAUUUUGGUCUUCAGAAAGUGCUCACUCUUCUUUGAGGCAAUAAACCCAACUCCAGAAUCUGAAAAAUCUAUUUGCAAACCCUUAAACCUGAUAAUCUACCUUGGCUGAUAAUCCCAAGUGCCUGGAAGGAGACAGGUCUACCAUCUGUCAACAGCAUUUGUAGGGUGACCAGUGCUACAGAGCCUCCCGUGUUGUCCUGCAAAGCUUCACUCUGGUAUUUGUAUGGCCUGGGAACAUCUGAACAUAUCCUUUGAGGGGCAUUGGACUUAGUGACUUCAGCAUCCUGUACCAACCCAAUGCCUUUCUUCUGCCAUUUAUAGCACUGCUAUAGUAUUGCAAGGAACAGAUACUCAGCUCCUGUCACGCUGGACUUUCUAUGCACUUCUAUAAGAGCUGUUCCUAAGAAAUUAUGCUUAAUUAAACAAGAUAAAGAGGGCAAGAGAAGCAGAGGGAUUAAAACUAGGGCUGAGGAGCUGGGGGUUGCCAUUGCCCUUGUUUUUGUGGAGUCUCUCCAUGGGGGAUGUUCUUCAGUUUGUCUCAGCAUUCCAAGAGGCCUUUAAGUGAGAGGCUGCGGUUUACAGAGUCAACAGAUUUAAGCAGGCUAUGAAUAUUAAUUAUUAAUUGCUCUUGGAGAGUGCUAUACAUUAGAUUGGUGAAGUAGUUAACAGCUAUGCCUUCUCCUCCCCACAGGCACGCUCUUGCUGUCAGAUUUCUCUCCCCAGCUAAGACCCUGGUGCUAGAAUCAGGCCAAAAACUAUUUUCCAGUCGAGUGGCUUUUAAUGGGCUCUCCAAGAUUUUUCUUUGCAUCCUGUGAGUGACGAGAUACGCGGAGAGGAGCGAUGGUGGGAUUGAUUCGUACCGUAAGAAGUAUGAUGGAUUUAACUAAGUGGGGCUCAGUGCUGCUAGAGCUGCAGGAAGCCCUUUGGCAGUUGUAUCUUGCACUCCAGAAGCAGCUGUUAAUUAUCCACAGCACUGGGCAGCGCUCUGGAGGAGCCCACCUGCUGAAAGGCAAGGCUGUGGUCUUUUGGGAUCUUCUCCAUGAGGAGCCCUGGGCAGCCUGAUUUAGUGUUCGGCAGCCCUGCCCAUGGAACAUGGGUUGAAACUAGAUGGCCAUUAAGGUUCCUUCCAACCCAAGCCAUUGUGUUCCUUCCUAACCCAAGCCUAUGACUGGGGUACUCUGGGUCUCUCAUGAGCUCAUAUGGCUGGGAAUUCCUUGACCUCCUCAACAAGAGUGAAUGAAGUGUAAUGAGCAUAAUGGUUUGGAGGUGGUUGUGUGUUUCAUCGAAUCCUUAGAGUUGGAAGGGACCUCUGGAGGCCAUCUAGUCCACCUAGUUUCAUCUCUCUGCAGAUGGUGAGGUGUCGUGGUGUGUCUCUUACUGCUUUUAAAGCCAGCUCUCCCUUUUCUCCUGCCAGACAUAGCAGAACGAUGGCUUGCAUAAAGCCAGAGGGCCAGGCUGUAUGGUCUGGAGCCUCAUGGGGAGUCCUCUAAGUGAAGGAUGAGCCCUGAUCUGCAAAGGAGAUCCACUCCCACUGAACAAACCAGGUUCCUCCACCUCCUGAGGUAAGUCCUGGCAUGGCAGUUUGGGCAUGAAGCACCAUCCUCAUUCUGGAAAGCUCUCCAGCAGCAACAAAAAGAGCAGCGAAAGUAGGUUUGGGAGCUAUUUCUGCAAGGAGGAGUAUUGUGAUCUGUUAGCAGCUGACUUGUUUCCAAACACCUAGCACAUUUUGUUCGUGCACUGUAUUAAAUAGCCUGUAGAAUUUAAUUCCUCUGGGGAAUAAAAAAAAACAAACAACCCAACCCAAAACAAAACAACCUCCCCACCCCCAAAGCACAACGAUUUUGUAAUUGGACUGUGACAAAGCUGAAUGCUGCCUGAUCCGGGUUGGGGGGGGGGAGCUAUUGUUUGUAAUUUCUGCUUCCUAACAGGGACAUGGCACGAUCCUACAUCUAGGCAGACAGUUUGGCAUGGAAAGUCACAGCUGGAUGGUUCCAGCUCCCCCAAGCAGGGGCUUUUAGAGAGAAAAUGCUGACAGAUCCGUAGCAAUAGCAGGCAGGACUCUUCAUAAUUUAUUUUUAAUGCCACGCUGUCUUUAACUGUGCAAUUUCCUCCGGGGUGUUUCUUUGAGAUUGCGAGAUAAUUACAUCUCAGAAACCAGGCUAAUUACAGUUAACAGCCUGAAAAACGAAGCCCCCCCCAUUUCCCGCCCCCCUGCCCAAAUUUUCAACCAGCUUUCCCCAUGCCUGCCCGCCCAGAUCGUGGCAGCAUGGCCGAGGAAGUGGCUUUGGCAGCCCUCUGGGAUGCUGGCUUCCCGUCCUCGCCCCAGCGAGGUGAUGGCCCCAUUGAUUUGUGUUGGGUGGAAAUGUGGCAGCCCUAGAUGGACUGCCACAGAGGGCUCGAUGGUGAGAAGGUCAGUGCUGGUGCAGAGGGAGGAGUAGCUGGCACUGGUAGGGAUGGCCAAGAGGGGUUAGUGGUGUGGUUAGGAAGUCCGUGAGUUCAGCUGAUGAAGAAGGAUGUUUCCUUCAGCCCGGUGGAAAAAAGACCUGAAUUUUCCAUGCCUCACCAGACAGCAUCCAGAUCCAGCACCAUGCAUGCGUGCAGUUAACUGGGCAGCAUGUUUUCUUCCCCUAUCCUUCAUACCUGCUUCACACCCGUUAUCACCUGCAAUUACUUGUGGGUAUGCAAGAAAAGAACCCCACACCUGAUAAGUCUGUGGGCUUGGAGCCAUGCUUGUACCAGAAGCCCAAGGGCAGCAGGUGGUGGUCCUGGAUGCAUGUGGUGGUGUUGGGAUGGAGCUUCUGCUCACCACACUCAGGAUGAACUCACUGUGCUGCAGCCAGCAGCUCCCUUACACCAGCUGCAACACUCAGCUCAGCCCAUGAUCUUUUGGAAAUAACUCUGAAAGCUUGAAUGGCUCAGCCUUGCUCUAUCACAAUGUGAUUGCCAGGCUCCUUGGAGAAUGACAGCACAGAGCUUCAAAGCAAUACAACCCCCCCUCCACCUUCCUUCAGCAGCCUUGGAUGCUGUUUGGCAGAGGAUGAGUACACUUGCUCUUCGUGUUUCUGCACGAUCUGGAGGUUUGGCCCCUAAUUCUUGCAGUCCUGAAGAAUAAUUCGUUUUCUCUUCUGGGAUUCCGGAUCAGGGAUUAAUUUAAUGAUUUUUUUCUUUCCCAUUGUUUGUUUUUAAUGAUUAAGGUGAUAGUUAUAAAUUGUUAACAAGUUCUGGUAGAAACGUGAUCCCUGGGAACUUUUUUACGCUGAAUAAAAUAACAGUGAGAUUGAUUUAGCACAGGCGAGUGAGUUGCUGUGUCUUCAUGGAUUAUCUUAGUUCUGCACGAAGGGCCAGCUUUGGAAAGAUACUUAAGCCUAACCAAAAUCAGGUGCUUAAGCACCUUCCAAACGAGAGGGGUUUCUGUCAGUAGGGAGUGAUAAAACAGUGUGUUAAAUCAACUCAUGCAUUAGUCCUUACCUUCUUGGCUGGGUGACUUUUUCAGGCUCAUGGUUUUAAGUUGAAGGAGGGAAGAUUUAGGUGGGAUAUCAAGUGGAAGUUCUUUACCAAGAGAGUGCUGAAACAGCUGCUCAAAGAGCUAUGGAUGCCCCGUCCAUCCCUGGAGGUGUUCAAG